UACAGAGGUCUCAAGCGUUGUUCGGAUUCAUUGGGCGUAAAGGGUGAGUAGGCGGCGCGGUAAGUCGGGUGUGAAAUCUCGGAGCUUAACUCCGAAACUGCAUUCGAGUACUGCCGUGCUUGAGGACUGGAGAGGAGACUGGAAUUUACGGUGUAGCGGUGAAAUGCGCAGAUAUCAGGAGGAACACCGGUGGGCGAAGGCGGUUCUCUGGGCAUGACCUGACGCUGGAGGAGCGAAAGCGUGGGGAGCGAACAGG
rnacentral:rRNA from 1 species